rnacentral:lncRNA from 1 species
AUCAAUAUCACAACAAUGAAAUAGGAGUCUUUUGGUAUAUCAAUGAAACAUUUUGACACUUUAUAGAAUGGAAACAACUUCGUUGGUAACGUAGAACAAUACAUGUUUUUGGACAACCUCGGAAUCUUACUUGAUGGAACAUUGGUGUUUUCAUGCCAAAGAACAUUGUUAGAGUAUGCUUUACAUACCUCGUUGUAGAUUCAGAUACCAAUUCAACACAACUUCCCGCCUUUACAAAUCACUUAUCUACAAUGAAAU